UGGCUCAGGACGAACGCUGGCGGCGUGCCUAACACAUGCAAGUCGAACGGAGAGCAUAUGAAGUAUUCGGUACGGAAUGCGUUCUAGUGGCGAACGGGUGAGUAACACGUGGGCAACCUGCCCCAGACUGGGGGAUAACAUUGUGAAAACAGUGCUAAUACCGCAUGACAGGGUUCCGGGCAUCCGGGACUCUUGAAAGGAGAAAUCCGGUCAGGGAUGGGCCCGCGUCCAAUUAGCUAGUUGGUGGGGUAACGGCCCACCAAGGCGACGAUUGGUAGCCGAACUGAGAGGUUGAUCGGCCACAUUGGGACUGAGACACGGCCCAGACUCCUACGGGAGGCAGCAGUGGGGAAUAUUGGGCAAUGGGCGAAAGCCCUGACCCAGCGACGCCGCGUGAAGGAUGAAGGUCUUCGGAUUGUAAACUUCUUUGAUCAGGGAAGAAAGAAAUGACGGUACCUGAAAAACAAGCCACGGCUAACUACGUGCCAGCCGCUGC
rnacentral:rRNA from 1 species